rnacentral:rRNA from 1 species
UGCCAGCCGCCGCGGUAAGACGGAGGGUGCAAACGUUGUUCGGAAUCACUGGGCAUAAAGCGCGCGUGGCGGUCCGCUAAGUCAGGUGUGAAAUCCCCCGGCUCAACCGGGGAACUGCAUCUGAUACUGGCGAACUAGAGGAUGGUAGGGGUGAGCGGAACUCCAGGUGGAGCGGUGAAAUGCGUAGAUAUCUGGAGGAACACCGGUGGCGAAGGCGGCUCCCUGGCCAAAGACUGACGCUCAUGUGCGAAAGUGUGGGUAGCGAACAGGAUUAGAUA